rnacentral:lncRNA from 1 species
AUAUUACCUCACCCACCUUGUCUCUCUAAUAUCCUGGGACCGGCAUGACGACAACUGCACUGCAUAGAUAAGAGCCUGGCAUUGUUAUUUUUAUUUAUUGUUUGUAUUAUGGUAGCACCUAGGAACCCCAUGCCUGGACAAGGUCCCAUUGCGCUAGGCACUUCCAGUGAUGAUAAUUCCAUGUAUUUAUAAGGCACACACCACUCAGUACCUGCUGUUACUAAGGCGGUACGUGUUUUAUUCAUCUCUCUGCUGCUUCUCGACAAGAAUAGAACGGUCUCUUUUAAAGAUGCCCCUCCGGGCAGUGGCACAUGGACAGUGCCUGCUGGAUCACUUCGAGCUGCCGCUUUCUCUGCAGGACCCAGAAGCUGUGUGCAAACCAAGAGCUCGACAAGGUGGCUAUUUUCAAACUGAAACCAUAAAUAUUUUUGGAAAAUUUAACAUUUUUACCAAAAUGAUCCAUUUUCAUUGGGUAAUAACCCUCCCCCGCCCCCUUAUGUGUUCACAGUACACCCAGGCAAACAGCUUUCCUGCAGUAUCAUGGAUUCAAGAUUGUAACAGGCCGACAAGGUCUGUCCAGGACACCCUCAUCUUGGGAGCUGAUGUUGGGAAUUAAGUGGGUUCUCAUGGAUAUGAGGGAGGUUAGGUUGGGUUGGGUGGGGUGGGUGUAGGUUCUCUGGGUAUUUAGUGUGUGGGCUGUGUCGUCCUGAGGGUGAAAUGA